rnacentral:rRNA from 1 species
GCAGCAACGCCGCGUGGAGGAUGACACUUUUCGGAGCGUAAACUCCUUUUGUUAGGGAAGAACAAUGACGGUACCUAACGAAUAAGCACCGGCUAACUCCGUGCCAGCAGCCGCGGUAAUACGGAGGGUGCAAGCGUUACUCGGAAUCACUGGGCGUAAAGGACGCGUAGGCGGAUUAUCAAGUCUCUUGUGAAAUCUAACGGCUUAACCGUUAAACUGCUUGGGAAACUGAUAAUCUAGAGUAAGGGAGAGGCAGAUGGAAUUCUUGGUGUAGGGGUAAAAUCCGUAGAGAUCAAGAAGAAUACCCAUUGCGAAAGCGAUCUGCUGGAACUUAACUGACGCUAAUGCGUGAAAGCGUGGGGAGCAAACAGGAUUAGAUACCCUGGUAGUCCACGCCCUAAACGAUGUAUACUAGUUGUUGCUUCGCUAGUCGAGGCAGUAAUGCACCUAACGGAUUAAGUAUACCGCCUGGGGAGUACGGUCGCAAGAUUAAAACUCAAAGGAAUAGACGGGGACCCGCACAAGCGGUGGAGCAUGUGGUUUAAUUCGAAGAUACGCGAAGAACCUUACCCGGACUUGAUAUCUAACAAAUCAUCCAGAGAUGGAAGAGUGUCUGCUUGCAGAAAUGUUAAGACAGGUGCUGCACGGCUGUCGUCAGCUCGUGUCGUGAGAUGUUGGGUUAAGUCCCGCAACGAGCGCAACCCACGUCAUUAGUUGCUAACGGUUCGGCCGAGCACUCUAAUGAGACUGCCUUCGUAAGGAGGAGGAAGGUGUGGACGACGUCAAGUCAUCAUGGCCCUUAUGUCCGGGGCGACACACGUGCUACAAUGGCAUAUACAAUGAGAAGCAAUAUCGCGAGAUGGAGCAAAUCUAUAAAAUAUGUCCCAGUUCGGAUUGGAGUCUGCAACUCGACUCCAUGAAGCCGGAAUCGCUAGUAAUCGUAGAUCAGCCAUGCUACGGUGAAUACGUUCCCGGGUCUUGUACUCACCGCCCGUCACACCAUGGGAGUUGAUUUCACUCGAAGCCGGAAUACUAAAUUAGUUACCGUCCACAGUGGAAUCAGCGACUGGGGUGAAGUCGUAACAAGGUAACCGUAGGAGAACCUGCGGUUG